rnacentral:rRNA from 1 species
AUACGGAGGAUCCGAGCGUUAUCCGGAUUUAUUGGGUUUAAAGGGAGCGUAGGCGGACUAUUAAGUCAGCUGUGAAAGUUUGCGGCUCGACCGUAAAAUUGCAGUUGAUACUGGUCGUCUUGAGUGCAGUAGAGGUAGGCGGAAUUCGUGGUGUAGCGGUGAAAUGCUUAGAUAUCACGAAGAACUCCGAUUGCGAAGGCAGCUUACUGGACUGUAACUGACGCUGAUGCUCGAAAGUGUGGGUAUCAAACAGGAUUAGAUACCCUGGUAGUCCACACAGUAAACGAUGAAUACUCGCUGUUUGCGAUAUACGGCAAGCGGCCAAGCGAAAGCAUUAAGUAUUCCACCUGGGGAGUACGCCGGCAACGGUGAAACUCAAAUGAAUUGACGGGG